rnacentral:rRNA from 1 species
UACGGGAAGGCAGCAGNUGGGGAAUAUUCCACAAUGGGGGAAACCCUGUAUGGAGCGACGCCGCGUGAGUGAAGAAGGGCUUCGGAUUGUAAAUCUCUGUCCCAGGAGAAGAGGGGAAGACGGUAUCCUGGGAGGAAGCCCCGGCUAACUACGUGCCAGCAGCCGCGGUAAU